UAUAAGCAAUUAUACCGUGAAACUGCGAAUGGCUCAUUAAAUCAGUUAUCGUUUAUUUGAUAGUACCUUACUACUUGGAUAACCGUGGUAAUUCUAGAGCUAAUACAUGCUGAAAACCCCAACUUCGGGAGGGGUGUAUUUAUUAGAUAAAAAACCAACGCCCUUCGGGGCUUUUUGGUGAUUCAUGAUAACUUUACGGAUCGCAUGGCCUUGCGCCGGCGACGGUUCAUUCAAAUUUCUGCCCUAUCAACUUUCGAUGGUAAGGUAUUGGCUUACCAUGGUUUCAACGGGUAACGGGGAAUUAGGGUUCGAUUCCGGAGAGGGAGCCUGAGAAACGGCUACCACAUCCAAGGAAGGCAGCAGGCGCGCAAAUUACCCAAUCCCGACACGGGGAGGUAGUGACAAUAAAUACUGAUACAGGGCUCUUUUGGGUCUUGUAAUUGGAAUGAGUACAAUUUAAACCUCUUAACGAGGAACAAUUGGAGGGCAAGUCUGGUGCCAGCAGCCGCGGUAAUUCCAGCUCCAAUAGCGUAUAUUAAAGUUGUUGCAGUUAAAAAGCUCGUAGUUGAACCUUGGGUCUGGCUGGCAGGUCCGCCUCACCGCGUGUACUUGUCCGGCCGGGCCUUCCUUCUGGAGAACCUCAUGCCCUUCACUGGGCGUGUUGGGGACCAGGACUUUUACUUUGAAAAAAUUAGAGUGUUCAAAGCAGGCCUUUGCUCGAAUACGUUAGCAUGGAAUAAUAGAAUAGGACGUGCGGUCCUAUUUUGUUGGUUUCUAGGACCGCCGUAAUGAUUAAUAGGGACAGUCGGGGGCAUCAGUAUUCAAUUGUCAGAGGUGAAAUUCUUGGAUUUAUUGAAGACUAACUACUGCGAAAGCAUUUGCCAAGGAUGUUUUCAUUAAUCAGUGAACGAAAGUUAGGGGAUCGAAGACGAUCAGAUACCGUCGUAGUCUUAACCGUAAACUAUGCCGACUAGGGAUCGGGCGAUGUUCUUUUUCUGACUCGCUCGGCACCUUACGAGAAAUCAAAGUUU
rnacentral:rRNA from 1 species